AGAUUGAAUUCAUAAUUCUGAGAUGAAAUUAUCUAAAUCUCAGAAUUCUGACUUUAUUCUCA
rnacentral:pre_miRNA from 1 species